CAAGAGCGUAUGUAAAAGUUGUUGCAGUUAAAAAGCUCGUAGUUGAACCUUGGGUUUGGUUGGCCGGUCCGCUUUUUUGCGAGUACUGGAUUCAACCGAGCCUUUCCUUCUGGCUAACCAGUCGUUUCGGCGGCUGGCGAACCAGGAUUUUUACUUUGAGAAAAUUAGAGUGUUCAAAGCAGGCAUUAGCUUGAAUAUAUUAGCAUGGAAUAAUAGAAUAGGACGUUAUGGUUCUAUUUUGUUGGUUUCUAGGACCAUCGUAAUGAUUAAUAGGGACGGUCGGGGGCAUCAGUAUUCAGUUGUCAGAGGUGAAAUUCUUGGAUUUACUGAAGACUAACUACUGCGAAAGCAUUAGCCAAGGACGUUUUCAUUAA
rnacentral:rRNA from 1 species